AAAUUGAAGAGUUUGAUCAUGGCUCAGAUUGAACGCUGGCGGCAGGCCUAACACAUGCAAGUCGAGCGGUAGCACAGAGAGCUUGCUCUCGGGUGACGAGCGGCGGACGGGUGAGUAAUGUCUGGGAAACUGCCUGAUGGAGGGGGAUAACUACUGGAAACGGUAGCUAAUACCGCAUAACGUCGCAAGACCAAAGUGGGGGACCUUCGGGCCUCAUGCCAUCAGAUGUGCCCAGAUGGGAUUAGCUAGUAGGUGGGGUAACGGCUCACCUAGGCGACGAUCCCUAGCUGGUCUGAGAGGAUGACCAGCCACACUGGAACUGAGACACGGUCCAGACUCCUACGGGAGGCAGCAGNGUCGCAAGACCAAAGUGGGGGACCUUCGGGCCUCAUGCCAUCAGAUGUGCCCAGAUGGGAUUAGCUAGUAGGUGGGGUAACGGCUCACCUAGGCGACGAUCCCUAGCUGGUCUGAGAGGAUGACCAGCCACACUGGAACUGAGACACGGUCCAGACUCCUACGGGAGGCAGCAGUGGGGAAUAUUGCACAAUGGGCGCAAGCCUGAUGCAGCCAUGCCGCGUGUGUGAAGAAGGCCUUCGGGUUGUAAAGCACUUUCAGCGGGGAGGAAGGCGUUAAGGUUAAUAACCUUGGCGAUUGACGUUACCCGCAGAAGAAGCACCGGCUAACUCCGUGCCAGCAGCCGCGGUAAUACGGAGGGUGCAAGCGUUAAUCGGAAUUACUGGGCGUAAAGCGCACGCAGGCGGUCUGUCAAGUCGGAUGUGAAAUCCCCGGGCUCAACCUGGGAACUGCAUUCGAAACUGGCAGGCUAGAGUCUUGUAGAGGGGGGUAGAAUUCCAGGUGUAGCGGUGAAAUGCGUAGAGAUCUGGAGGAAUACCGGUGGCGAAGGCGGCCCCCUGGACAAAGACUGACGCUCAGGUGCGAAAGCGUGGGGAGCAAACAGGAUUAGAUACCCUGGUAGUCCACGCCGUAAACGAUGUCGAUUUGGAGGUUGUGCCCUUGAGGCGUGGCUUCCGGAGCUAACGCGUUAAAUCGACCGCCUGGGGAGUACGGCCGCAAGGUUAAAACUCAAAUGAAUUGACGGGGGCCCGCACAAGCGGUGGAGCAUGUGGUUUAAUUCGAUGCAACGCGAAGAACCUUACCUGGUCUUGACAUCCACAGAACUUUCCAGAGAUGGAUUGGUGCCUUCGGGAACUGUGAGACAGGUGCUGCAUGGCUGUCGUCAGCUCGUGUUGUGAAAUGUUGGGUUAAGUCCCGCAACGAGCGCAACCCUUAUCCUUUGUUGCCAGCGGUUCGGCCGGGAACUCAAAGGAGACUGCCAGUGAUAAACUGGAGGAAGGUGGGGAUGACGUCAAGUCAUCAUGGCCCUUACGACCAGGGCUACACACGUGCUACAAUGGCAUAUACAAAGAGAAGCGACCUCGCGAGAGCAAGCGGACCUCAUAAAGUAUGUCGUAGUCCGGAUUGGAGUCUGCAACUCGACUCCAUGAAGUCGGAAUCGCUAGUAAUCGUAGAUCAGAAUGCUACGGUGAAUACGUUCCCGGGCCUUGUACACACCGCCCGUCACACCAUGGGAGUGGGUUGCAAAAGAAGUAGGUAGCUUAACCUUCGGGAGGGCGCUUACCACUUUGUGAUUCAUGACUGGGGUGAAGUCGUAACAAGGUAACCGUAGGGGAACCUGCGGUUGGAUCACCUCCUUA
rnacentral:rRNA from 1 species